UGCGAUGGCAGUUCCACCUAGUGUGGUGGCAAU
rnacentral:sRNA from 1 species